rnacentral:tRNA from 1 species
GGGCCACUAGCUCAACUAGGCAGAGCAACGGCCUCUUAAGCCGCAGGUUACAGGUUCGAUUCCUGUGUGGCCCA